CGGGACACGUGGUAUCCUGUCUGAAUAUGGGGGGACCAUCCUCCAAGGCUAAAUACUCCUGACUGACCGAUAGUGAACCAGUACCGUGAGGGAAAGGCGAAAAGAACCCCGGCGAGGGGAGUGAAAAAGAACCUGAAACCGUGUACGUACAAGCAGUGGGAGCACGCUUAGGCGUGUGACUGCGUACCUUUUGUAUAAUGGGUCAGCGACUUAUAUUCUGUAGCAAGGUUAACCGAAUAGGGGAGCCGAAGGGAAACCGAGUCUUAACUGGGCGUUAAGUUGCAGGGUAUAGACCCGAAACCCGGUGAUCUAGCCAUGGGCAGGUUGAAGGUUGGGUAACACUAACUGGAGGACCGAACCGACUAAUGUUGAAAAAUUAGCGGAUGACUUGUGGCUGGGGGUGAAAGGCCAAUCAAACC
rnacentral:rRNA from 1 species